rnacentral:rRNA from 1 species
AUUGAACGCUGGCGGCAGGCCUAACACAUGCAAGUCGAGCGGUAGAGAGAAGCUUGCUUCUCUUGAGAGCGGCGGACGGGUGAGUAAUGCCUAGGAAUCUGCCUGGUAGUGGGGGAUAACGUUCGGAAACGGACGCUAAUACCGCAUACGUCCUGCGGGAGAAAGCAGGGGACCUUCGGGCCUUGCGCUAUCAGAUGAGCCUAGGUCGGAUUAGCUAGUUGGUGGGGUAAUGGCUCACCAAGGCGACGAUCCGUAACUGGUCUGAGAGGAUGAUCAGUCACACUGGAACUGAGACACGGUCCAGACUCCUACGGGAGGCAGCAGUGGGGAAUAUUGGACAAUGGGCGAAAGCCUGAUCCAGCCAUGCCGCGUGUGUGAAGAAGGUCUUCGGAUUGUAAAGCACUUUAAGUUGGGAGGAAGGGCAGUAAAUUAAUACUUUGCUGUUUUGACGUUACCGACAGAAUAAGCACCGGCUAACUCUGUG